rnacentral:rRNA from 1 species
CACGUAGGGGGCAAGCGUUGUCCGGAAUCAUUGGGCGUAAAGAGCUCGUAGGCGGCUCAGUAAGUCGGGUGUGAAACCCUCAGGCUCAACCUGGGGACGCCACCCGAUACUGCUGUGGCUAGAGUCCAGUAGGGGAGUGUGGAAUUCCCGGUGUAGCGGUGAAAUGCGCAGAUAUCGGGAGGAACACCAGCGGCGAAGGCGGCACUCUGGGCUGGUACUGACGCUGAGGAGCGAAAGCGUGGGUAGCAACAGGA